rnacentral:rRNA from 1 species
UACGGAGGGUGCGAGCGUUAAUCGGAAUCACUGGGCGUAAAGCGCUCGUAGGUUGCUUUGUAAGUAAGGUGUGAAAUCCCACGGCUCAACCGUGGAAUUGCACUUGAUACUGCAUUGCUUGAGUUCGGGAGAGGGUAGUGGAAUUCCAGGAGGAGUGAAAUCCGUAGAGAUCUGGAGGAACACCGGUGGCGAAGGCAACUACCUGGACCAAUACUGACACUGAGGAGCGAAAGCGUGGGGAGCAAACAGG